CGUCUAGGCGGGGAACUAAGUUAGAUGUGAAAUCCAUGGGCUCAACCCAUGAACUGCACCUAAUACUGGUUCUCUUGAGUUCGGGAGAGGAGAGCGGAAUUCCUGGUGUAGAGGUGAAAUUCGUAGAUAUCAGGAGGAACACCGGUGGCGAAGGCGGCUUUCUGGCUCUAUACUGACGCUGAGACGCGAAAGCGUGGGGAGCAAACAGGAUUAGAUACCCUGGUAGUCC
rnacentral:rRNA from 1 species